GACGAACGCUGGCGGCGUGCUUAACACAUGCAAGUCGAACGAAGAGCGAUGGAAGCUUGCUUCUAUCAAUCUUAGUGGCGAACGGGUGAGUAACGCGUAAUCAACCUGCCCUUCAGAGGGGGACAACAGUUGGAAACGACUGCUAAUACCGCAUACGAUCUAAUCUCGGCAUCGAGGAUAGAUGAAAGGUGGCCUCUACAUGUAAGCUAUCACUGAAGGAGGGGAUUGCGUCUGAUUAGCUAGUUGGAGGGAUAACGGCCCACCAAGGCGAUGAUCAGUAGCCGGUCUGAGAGGAUGAACGGCCACAUUGGGACUGAGACACGGCCCAGACUCCUACGGGAGGCAGCAGUGGGGAAUCUUCCGCAAUGGACGAAAGUCUGACGGAGCAACGCCGCGUGAGCGAUGACGGCCUUCGGGUUGUAAAGCUCUGUUAAUCGGGACGAAAGGCCUUCUUGCGAAUAGUGAGAAGGAUUGACGGUACCGGAAUAGAAAGCCACGGCUAACUACGUG
rnacentral:rRNA from 1 species